GUGGGGAAUAUUGGACAAUGGGCGAAAGCCUGAUCCAACCAUGCCGCGUGUGUGAAGAAGGUCUUCGGAUUGUAAAGCACUUUAAGUUGGGAGGAAGGGCAGUAAGUUAAUACCUUGCUGUUUUGACGUUACCGACAGAAUAAGCACCGGCUAACUUCGUGCCAGCAGCCGCGGUAAUACGAAGGGUGCAAGCGUUAAUCGGAAUUACUGGGCGUAAAGCGCGCGUAGGUGGUUUUGUAAGUUGGAGGUGAAAUCCCCGGGCUCAACCUGGGAACUGCCUCCAAAACUGCAUGACUAGAGUACGGUAGAGGGUAGUGGAAUUUCCUGUGUAGCGGUGAAAUGCGUAGAUAUAGGAAGGAACACCAGUGGCGAAGGCGACUACCUGGACUGAUACUGACACUGAGGUGCGAAAGCGUGGGGAGCAAACAGGAUUAGAUACCCCAGUAGUCC
rnacentral:rRNA from 1 species